CCGAUUAGGAGAGCAUAUUAUAGAUAUACUGAAAAGUUGAAGAAUACUUGAAAAACGCGUUAUUAUCCCUAAGGGUUCUUUAAUUUCGGAGCUGUCAAUUUUCAUUGAGAAUUUGCAAGGUAGGGUAAUGAAAGUGACAGUUUUCGUUCCUGCACUUGUGUUAAACAAUUAUUCAUCCACAUUUGAUAAAUACAUGAAUGAAUAAACUAUUAUGUGUAUUUAUUAAAAAAAGAUUGAAAAAUAUUACGUGUGCGUUCAGAAGCAAAAUAUCUCGAAAGUUCAGUAUUACUAUUAAUAAAAAUGCCGCGUCCUAGAAGAUCUAAUCUUUCGCAGCGGACCCGUAAUGCAAUUAGGCAACGAAACAUCGCGUGUCAAUCAUCUGACGAAGACCGAGAAAUCGCCCGAGAAGAGCGCCGCGUUAGUAUG